rnacentral:rRNA from 1 species
CGAAUGCUGACAUAAGUAACGAUAAAGCGGGUGAAAAGCCCGCUCGCCGGAAGACCAAGGGUUCCUGUCCAACGUUAAUCGGGGCAGGGUGAGUCGACCCCUAAGGCGAGGCCGAAAGGCGUAGUCGAUGGGAAACAGGUUAAUAUUCCUGUACUUGGUGUUACUGCGAAGGGGGGACGGAGAAGGCUAUGUUGGCCGGGCGACGGUUGUCCCGGUUUAAGCGUGUAGGCUGGUUUUCCAGGCAAAUCCGGAAAAUCAAGGCUGAGGCGUGAUGACGAGGCACUACGGUGCUGAAGCAACAAAUGCCCUGCUUCCAGGAAAAGCCUCUAAGCAUCAGGUAACAUCAAAUCGUACCCCAAACCGACACAGGUGGUCAGGUAGAGAAUACCAAGGCGCUUGAGAGAACUCGGGUGAAGGAACUAGGCAAAAUGGUGCCGUAACUUCGGGAGAAGGCACGCUGAUAUGUAGGUGAAGUCCCUCGCGGAUGGAGCUGAAAUCAGUCGAAGAUACCAGCUGGCUGCAACUGUUUAUUAAAAACACAGCACUGUGCAAACACGAAAGUGGACGUAUACGGUGUGACGCCUGCCCGGUGCCGGAAGGUUAAUUGAUGGGGUUAGCGCAAGCGAAGCUCUUGAUCGAAGCCCCGGUAAACGGCGGCCGUAACUAUAACGGUCCUAAGGUAGCGAAAUUCCUUGUCGGGUAAGUUCCGACCUGCACGAAUGGCGUAAUGAUGGCCAGGCUGUCUCCACCCGAGACUCAGUGAAAUUGAACUCGCUGUGAAGAUGCAGUGUACCCGCGGCAAGACGGAAAGACCCCGUGAACCUUUACUAUAGCUUGACACUGAACAUUGAGCCUUGAUGUGUAGGAUAGGUGGGAGGCUUUGAAGUGUGGACGCCAGUCUGCAUGGAGCCGACCUUGAAAUACCACCCUUUAAUGUUUGAUGUUCUAACGUUGACCCGUGAUCCGGGUUGCGGACAGUGUCUGGUGGGUAGUUUGACUGGGGCGGUCUCCUCCUAAAGAGUAACGGAGGAGCACGAAGGUUGGCUAAUCCUGGUCGGACAUCAGGAGGUUAGUGCAAUGGCAUAAGCCAGCUUGACUGCGAGCGUGACGGCGCGAGCAGGUGCGAAAGCAGGUCAUAGUGAUCCGGUGGUUCUGAAUGGAAGGGCCAUCGCUCAACGGAUAAAAGGUACUCCGGGGAUAACAGGCUGAUACCGCCCAAGAGUUCAUAUCGACGGCGGUGUUUGGCACCUCGAUGUCGGCUCAUCACAUCCUGGGGCUGAAGUAGGUCCCAAGGGUAUGGCUGUUCGCCAUUUAAAGUGGUACGCGAGCUGGGUUUAGAACGUCGUGAGACAGUUCGGUCCCUAUCUGCCGUGGGCGCUGGAGAACUGAGGGGGGCUGCUCCUAGUACGAGAGGACCGGAGUGGACGCAUCACUGGUGUUCGGGUUGUCAUGCCAAUGGCACUGCCCGGUAGCUAAAUGCGGAAGAGAUAAGUGCUGAAAGCAUCUAAGCACGAAACUUGCCCCGAGAUGAGUUCUCCCUGACUCCUUGAGAGUCCUGAAGGAACGUUGAAGACGACGACGUUGAUAGGCCGGGUGUGUAAGCGCAGCGAUGCGUUGAGCUAACCGGUACUAAUGAACCGUGAG